rnacentral:rRNA from 1 species
AAGGGGGGGGGUGCUACCAUGCAAGUCGAACGAUGAUGCCCAGCUUGCUGGGCGGAUUAGUGGCGAACGGGUGAGUAAUACGUGAGUAACCUGCCCUUGACUCUGGGAUAAGCCUGGGAAACUGGGUCUAAUACUGGAUACUACCGUCCACCGCAUGGUGGGUGGUGGAAAGGGUUUUACUGGUUUUGGAUGGGCUCACGGCCUAUCAGCUUGUUGGUGGGGUAAUGGCUCACCAAGGCGACGACGGGUAGCCGGCCUGAGAGGGUGACCGGCCACACUGGGACUGAGACACGGCCCAGACUCCUACGGGAGGCAGCAGUGGGGAAUAUUGCACAAUGGGCGGAAGCCUGAUGCAGCGACGCCGCGUGAGGGAUGACGGCCUUCGGGUUGUAAACCUCUUUCAGUAGGGAAGAAGCGAGAGUGACGGUACCUGCAGAAGAAGCGCCGGCUAACUACGUGCCAGCAGCCGCGGUAAUACGUAGGGCGCAAGCGUUGUCCGGAAUUAUUGGGCGUAAAGAGCUCGUAGGCGGUUUGUCGCGUCUGCUGUGAAAGCCCGGGGCUCAACCCCGGGUCUGCAGUGGGUACGGGCAGACUAGAGUGCAGUAGGGGAGACUGGAAUUCCUGGUGUAGCGGUGAAAUGCGCAGAUAUCAGGAGGAACACCGAUGGCGAAGGCAGGUCUCUGGGCUGUUACUGACGCUGAGGAGCGAAAGCAUGGGGAGCGAACAGGAUUAGAUACCCUGGUAGUCCAUGCCGUAAACGUUGGGCACUAGGUGUGGGGGACAUUCCACGUUUUCCGCGCCGUAGCUAACGCAUUAAGUGCCCCGCCUGGGGAGUACGGCCGCAAGGCUAAAACUCAAAGGAAUUGACGGGGGCCCGCACAAGCGGCGGAGCAUGCGGAUUAAUUCGAUGCAACGCGAAGAACCUUACCAAGGCUUGACAUUCACCGGACCGCCCCAGAGAUGGGGUUUCCCUUCGGGGCUGGUGGACAGGUGGUGCAUGGUUGUCGUCAGCUCGUGUCGUGAGAUGUUGGGUUAAGUCCCGCAACGAGCGCAACCCUCGUUCUAUGUUGCCAGCACGUGAUGGUGGGGACUCAUAGGAGACUGCCGGGGUCAACUCGGAGGAAGGUGGGGAUGACGUCAAAUCAUCAUGCCCCUUAUGUCUUGGGCUUCACGCAUGCUACAAUGGCCGGUACAAAGGGUUGCGAUACUGUGAGGUGGAGCUAAUCCCAAAAAGCCGGUCUCAGUUCGGAUUGAGGUCUGCAACUCGACCUCAUGAAGUCGGAGUCGCUAGUAAUCGCAGAUCAGCAACGCUGCGGUGAAUACGUUCCCGGGCCUUGUACACACCGCCCGUCAAGUCACGAAAGUUGGUAACACCCGAAGCCGGUGGCCUAACCCCUUGUGGGAGGGAGCCGUCGAAGGUGAACCUGGGC